rnacentral:rRNA from 1 species
UUGUGAACUGCAGGACACAUGAACACCGACAAGUUGAACGCAUAUGGCGCAUCGGACGUUUAAACCCGACCGAUGCUCACAUUCUUGAGUGCCUACCAAAUCCUUCUUACACUUAACACGAGACUACAGGACGGGGGCGUGCAGCGAAUCAAAACACUCUGGCGUACGAACCGCCGGGUGUCGCUGAGAACACGUCCUCGACUGUGCAUAUUAGCGUGCUGGGUUCCUUGCGGACCGGGGGCGCUUAAGGCAGGUAAGGCGAUACUGUUACCUAACCGGGUACGUGCCAAGUCACGCGGGUCGUUAUCACGCAAUAGACGGAGACCCUGAGAGCAACGGAGCCUUCUAACACCGGGCUACUACCGGUCUCUCGGGACAAUCUCGUCGCUGGAUAACGUGUAACGCGCGUGACCCAUGCACACACCAGUGCUUGGGAGGGUGCAGUAUGUGCUACUAUUUACCCGCUGUCAAUACGUAGGCCUCAAGUGAUGUGUGACAACCCCCUGAAUUUAAGCAUAAU